GACACGCGCCGCACGCUCUCCACCGUUGAUCCUUCGUGCAAAGGCCCGAAGGUUAGCACGGGGUCGCCGUCGUUAUCCGCCUGCGUUCUCCUUCGUCCUCACCUUGAGGAAGGAUGCGAGUCACCUGCCGACCGGGAAAGAAGGAUCGUUAGAUCUCGUGCGCGACGUGCCUUACUCGCUCCCGCUUGCCUGAUGCACUUUUCUUUCAUCUUCGUUCCGUGACACAUCCGGAUAUACACGAGAGUUAUGCCAGCUGUUUGAUAGAACGUGAUCGACUCGGAGGAAAGGAAGUUACAAUUAGGGUGCAUUCAAGACUGCUAGUAAAUCAGGAGGCCGUGGAUGCAGCCGAGAGCCGGCAGUGGCGGGGGGCGCCCCCGCGGGCCGGGCGGG